rnacentral:rRNA from 1 species
GGGACCAAGCGUUGUUCGGAUUUACUGGGCGGAAAGGGCGCGUAGGCGGCUUAACAAGUCACUUGUGAAAUCUCCGGGCUUAACUCGGAACGGCCAAGUGAAACUGUCAAGCUAGAGUGCAGAAGGGGCAAUCGGAAUUCUUGGUGUAGCGGUGAAAUGCGUAGAUAUCAGGAGGAACACCGGUGGCGAAGGCGGGUCUCUGGGCCGAUACUGACGCUGAGGAGCGAAAGCGUGGGGAGCGAACAGG